rnacentral:rRNA from 1 species
UACGGAGGGUGCAAGCGUUGUCCGGAAUCACUGGGCGUAAAGGGCGCGUAGGCGGCUCAUGAAGGCUGUGGUGAAAGUCCGGGGCUCAACCUCGGAUCGGCCGUGGCGACUCGUGGGCUGGAGCACUGUAGAGGCGGGUGGAAUUCCGGGUGUAGCGGUGGAAUGCGUAGAGAUCCGGAAGAACACCGGUGGCGAAGGCGGCCUGCUGGGCAGUGGCUGACGCUGAGGCGCGACAGCGUGGGGAGCAAACAGG